GUGUCAGCAGCCGCGGUAAGACGGAGGAUGCAAGUGUUAUCCGGAAUCACUGGGCGUAAAGCGUCUGUAGGUGGUCAAAUAAGUCAACUGUUAAAUCUUGAGGCUCAACCUCAAAAUCGCAGUCGAAACUAUUCGACUAGAGUAUAGUAGGGGUAAAGGGAAUUUCCAGUGGAGCGGUGAAAUGCGUAGAGAUUGGAAAGAACACCGAUGGCGAAGGCACUUUACUGGGCUAUUACUAACACUGAGAGACGAAAGCUAGGGUAGCAAAUGGGAUUAGAUACCCCAGUAGUCC
rnacentral:rRNA from 1 species